AUUGAACGCUGGCGGCAUGCCUUACACAUGCAAGUCGAACGGUAACAGGUUAAGCUGACGAGUGGCGAACGGGUGAGUAAUAUAUCGGAACGUGCCCAGUCGUGGGGGAUAACUGCUCGAAAGAGCAGCUAAUACCGCAUACGACCUGAGGGUGAAAGCGGGGGAUCGCAAGACCUCGCGCGAUUGGAGCGGCCGAUAUCAGAUUAGGUAGUUGGUGGGGUAAAGGCCCACCAAGCCAACGAUCUGUAGCUGGUCCGAGAGGACGACCAGCCACACUGGGACUGAGACACGGCCCAGACUCCUACGGGAGGCAGCAGUGGGGAAUUUUGGACAAUGGGCGCAAGCCUGAUCCAGCCAUGCCGCGUGCGGGAAGAAGGCCUUCGGGUUGUAAACCGCUUUUGUCAGGGAAGAAAAGGCUUCUGCUAAUGCCGGAGGCUCAUGACGGUACCUGAAGAAUAAGCACCGGCUAACUACGUGCCAGCCGCCGCGGUAACAC
rnacentral:rRNA from 1 species